CCUCACCCCCCCGUGCAUGGACCGGAUCCCAAUCGCACCUUUUAAAGUGUUACAUUAAAAAAACAUUAGCAGGAGAAACAAGUCCUCAAACCCUGGACCCUCAGAGACUCAAUGACGUCACCUAGUAGGUGGUCCAGCGUGAGAGUCUGUGAGGGAACGGAAUGGUGUAAAUACGAAUGGGACAACACUGCAACUGAUCACGUUACCAUGACAACGCGGCCGGCUCGAGUCCCCGCAGCCCGGGCCUGCGGUCUACGUUAGGAGGGGAGGCCGUGGCCCUCAGCUGGGAGGAGGCCUGCUGAAGCAGUCAUUAUUAAUUGUGAUAAAAAAAAAGACUAAAACUAAUUAAAAAUGAAAGCUUUUGGUUUGAAACAAACACAGAUUAAAUAAUUCUCAGACAAACGC
ensembl:lncRNA